CCUCGUGUGAGGGCAACACUCGUCUAGAGCUGCAGGGACUUACACAACGCUCCAAACACCUGCUGCUGCGUCGCACACAGUUAAAGAUCCACCAACAAACUUGACCAAAGGUUACGACUCGUCAAGGUCGACUGAAGAAGACCGUCGUUAUCAGAAAUGCAAGAAGGGGCCUGUCAGAGGAAGAUAGGAUAAAACUAGAUAAGUUUUCUCAAGUUUAUGAGGAUACAUGAGACUUUGACCCAUAAAACUGUUAUUUAACACUUGAACCAAACGUGUGCAGAUCGACCAGAUGUACACAUCAGGAAAAAAAGAGUCAAGAUGUUGGAAAUCCUCGGUUAAACACACAAAAUAUUAAGAAUGUUUUGUGAUAUCGAACUUGAGACGCCUUGAUUUUAGCCAAAUUUGCCUGUUUUAGUGAUUUUAAUGAUUAGUACAGUACACAAUGCAUAAGGGAGAUCAGUAAGGAACAGUCAUUUAUUCUUGGGAUAAUUUCAACAAAGCAGAUUAAAUCCUCUAAAGAUCUAACUGUCUUCUUUUUCAUUUUCAUAUCUCACAGCCGAGUGUGUCUCACAGCCAUGUUCAAGGAAGUGGACAAUGUUGUGUAAGUAAAUAUAGAGGAAAGUUCAGCCCUCCGUCCUCAGAUGACACACAGUAACCUUCCUUGCAGACUGGAAGGUCAGUGAAUCAUGCCACCCAGUCACACCACAUCCGACCCCUCGCUGCCACAUUCUUGGGCAAGGGCCCCCAGUGGAGGUUGUGAAUGAUUGCACAAGGACUAAGUGGACUGGAGAGGUUUCCCUCAUGAAAUCAAGAGCUAAAAAGAGAAAAGAAGAAGAAUUUCCAAAACCUGACACCUUAAAGAUUGUUCUCAUCUAUGGCUUAUGAUAGAACCCACAAAGUAUCAGUAAAUACUGUAUUAAAUAUUGAUAGAACCAUUUGUUAAAGCCUAAAACAUUUGCUUAUGUUGUACGUUAUCAGAGUGGUACCUAAAACUUUAGAUAGUCUGUUGGUUAAGUAAAUAAAUAUCUUUUAAUAAUUAUAAAACCACAAAACAACAGAUUCUUCCUGAUAAAGUGUGUCUUAUAAAAUACACAUUCAUGAACAUGACAAGAAUAAUACUGCUCUAAAUAAAUGCCGUUAUUUAAU